GCUUAACACAUGCAAGUCGAGGGGAAACGACAUCGAAAGCUUGCUUUUGAUGGGCGUCGACCGGCGCACGGGUGAGUAACGCGUAUCCAACCUGCCCACCACUUGGGGAUAACCUUGCGAAAGUAAGACUAAUACCCAAUGACGUCUCUAGAAGACAUCUGAAGGAGAUUAAAGAUUUAUCGGUGAUGGAUGGGGAUGCGUCUGAUUAGCUUGUUGGCGGGGUAACGGCCCACCAAGGCGACGAUCAGUAGGGGUUCUGAGAGGAAGGUCCCCCACAUUGGAACUGAGACACGGUCCAAACUCCUACGGGAGGCAGCAGUGAGGAAUAUUGGUCAAUGGGCGAGAGCCUGAACCAGCCAAGUAGCGUGCAGGAUGACGGCCCUAUGGGUUGUAAACUGCUUUUAUAAGGGAAUAAAGUGAGCCUCGUGAGGCUUUUUGCAUGUACCUUAUGAAUAAGGACCGGCUAAUUCCGUGCCAGCAGCCGCGGUAAUACGGAAGGUCCGGGCGUUAUCCGGAUUUAUUGGGUUUAAAGGGAGCGUAGGCCGGAGAUUAAGCGUGUUGUGAAAUGUAGACGCUCAACGUCUGCACUGCAGCGCGAACUGGUUUCCUUGAGUACGCACAAAGUGGGCGGAAUUCGUGGUGUAGCGGUGAAAUGCUUAGAUAUCACGAAGAACUCCGAUUGCGAAGGCAGCUCACUGGAGCGCAACUGACGCUGAGGCUCGAAAGUGCGGGUAUCGAACAGGAUUAGAUACCCUGGUAGUCCGCACGGUAAACGAUGGAUGCCCGCUGUUGGUCUGAAUAGGUCAGCGG
rnacentral:rRNA from 1 species